rnacentral:tRNA from 1 species
GGCCCAGUGAUCUAAUGGAUAAGGCAUCAGCCUCCUGAGCUGGGGGUUGUGGGUUGAAGUCCCACCUGGGUCA